CCCAGACUUGUCACUAAGAUACACCAGGGGGAAUAACUCUGUACAACUAGUGACAAGUGUCUCCCAAGGUACACCAGGGGGAAUAACUCUGUACAACUAGUGACAAGUGUCUCCCAAGGUACGCCAGGGGGAAUAACUCUGUACAACUAGCUAGUGACAAGUGUCUCCCAGACUUGUCACUUAUAACUGGCUAAGGUACACCAGGGGGAAUAACUCUGUACAACUAGUGACAAGUGUCUACCAGACUUGCCUCAAAUAAUAAAUCAGGGUUCACUGGCAAAAUAAUUGUACCAAAAUUGUCUCCCAUACUGGUGUCCAAUGACUGGCUUUAACGUUUGGAUACUCCCACCCACACUCACCAACAGGUGUAUCACGACACUUCCUCAGGCUUUCUUCAGUCAUGAUAUGGACAGACAAAUACUGGAUAUGAGUAUGGACAUUUGUAUACUCGACAUGUCUACAUGAACUGACAUGGGUAUUCUGACUCCAGGAGAUACAUUGAACUAGAAUUCCAUUUUAAAUGUCAGCAAUUGUCCCUAGUAAACAGAGUUACAAUAAACCUCAUAGCAAUUCAUAGUGAUUCAUAUUCAGGUACUAUUAGUAGCGCAUGUUUAGGAGUUGUAACAUUUUGCUGUGUGACACAUGAGACUUUUCUUCGUUUAGGUAACACCCACCAAAAUUAUACGACAAUUCUGCUUUGUGGUACAAACAUCAAAUUUCUUUUGUGAGAUUCCUGCUCUGUUAACUUGUAUCUUGGUGUUAGCUGCUGGUGAGAUCUUUGUCUUCCCGUCACCUAGACUUUUAUUUAUCUUCAUUCUCAUUUAUCAUGAGAUCAAUAAAAUAUAUGUACAAGCAUUGUUUAAAAUGUCAUCAGUGUUUGUAGCUCUUGUAAUUAUCUAAGAAACUGUUUGGUCAGUUUGAGAACACAAUGAAGAUUUGACAUUUGAAAUCAAAUUUACUUCCAUAUGAUAUUUCUGUAUGCCAAGUCAUCUCCUUCUGACACAAACUUUUUAGUGUCUGUAUGUAUCAGGAGAAAUAUUCAGGUAUUUGUGUUGGAAAAUACCAAUCCUGUUUUUGUAAUCUCAUCUUUGUUACAGUAUCAAGAUUGUAAAUAGAUAGGAAUGCAUGUAGAGAUAUGUAAACAUUCGUGCAAUAUUGUGUAAGUGGUCAUCACCAAUAUCCCGGUAUAUAAUACAGUGAUUACCACUCAGGCCAGAGUGCUCAACAUAUUCUAGUAAGGGUGCUGUCCUCAUAAGUCACUACUUCAAUUGUAUUACAAGCUGAACAUUCCUAUGUUCCUUUUGAUUUUAAAAAGAAUUUUAAUAUCCAUAUUUCUCAUAUGAAAGAUAAUUAACUAGCUAUUAAUUUGGUCACCAGGGCCCAGUUGUUCAAAAGAUGAUUAGCUUAAUCACUUGAUUAGUGAAAAAUUCAUUUCUCAUUUGUUGCAAAACCUGCGAGUAUAUCAUCUUUAAAUUAUGCCAGUUGGAAGAGAAUUAAGAAUUACAGAAUUUCAUAAAGUUUUGUCAAGUUAGUUCUACCAGAAAUUAUUAUAUCAGGAUUUGAAAAACGUUGUUAAAAUGUGAUUAGCCUAAUCACCUUUCGAACAACUGGGCCCAGAUGGAAAAAUCUACAAGGAUUUAAUGUUUGUAUACAAGUCUGCUUAUUGGGAUUCGUAUAUGUACGUGCACUCUUAUAAGGAUAUAGGAACAGCCACAGUAUUUUUAUGUGUAAUCAUCUAUUUUCAACAGCUAACCCUUAAAGUAUGUAUACAGAAGCCUGAGCAACAGUUUUAAAACAAAAAAAUGACUAAUAAAUGUGUCUGUCCUGGUGUGUUAUUGGACAUCUGUAACCAAUUAUGUAUAUGUUAUUGUGUAGUUUUAUACAUUAAGAAACUUACUUACAGAAAACAGUAUAUAUAUGUAUAUCUGUAUGUAUGUUACGAACCAUAGCUGGAUAAUACCAGUUCUACAGUGUUAGAACUCAGAUUUGGACGUGUAUAUUUUGAGAGUGAAUGUUGAGUGAGGUAUCAGUGUAAUUGCCUAUACUUGUACUUCUCAUUAAUAUUAUUGAUACUAUGGUUUCUGUGGUUUCUCAUCAUUUGUUAUUUACUAUUUAUAAUCUGCCAUUCCCUACAGAUCAUAGUAGGCUGGCCAAUAUCUAUAGAGGAACGGUCCAUCAUGGUUACUGAGGGAUUGCAGUUUACACAUCUGAGUCUAUUUAACCAAGUGUAAUACAAUCGAAGUGUGCCUGAUGUGACAUCACGUUGUGGUGAUUUCUAUAUUAUGUUAUGUGUGGUGGUAAAUGACAUUCAUGCUAUCCCCCAGCAUUGGUAUGGCUUAUCCAGCUUGUUCAUUGGUUGGAUUACUUCUAUAUCACUGAUGGGGAUGGAAGGAUCAUCAACAAAACUCUUUAUAUUAAUAUUUUUAACACUUCAUGUACAUGUAGUGAUCAAAAGUGGGAACUUUGUAAUGCCAGAUGUAUUGCAUCAUUUUAUUUUCAAAAUCUGUGUUCUGUUAUAGUCCUCGUUCUAGUCUACAGGUUCUUGUUCCUUUAAGUCCAGUCAUUCUGUUAUUCCACCACAAAUUUCUUUGUGUUAAUAUGAUGUGCUCUGAAGUGUCACUAUUAAAGUAUUUUCCAAAGAUUUAAAGAGCUUUAAACAAGAAAUGUAGACCCAUGUAGUGAAGAAAUUCAAGCUACACUAUCUUACCUAUUAUUCUAGUAAAAUGAUUCUGUUUUGUUAAAGAUAAGGUUUCUAAAAUUGGUUGAUGAGGAAUAAAUGAGGCAGACAAAAAGGUUAUAAUUAUAAAGAAACAGAUAAAAAAGUAAUGGUAAGAAGUUUUUAGAAAAAAAGUAAUUUAGGGUGUCUUUAAUAGGAUACUUAUAUCUGGUGACAUAAAAUUGUCUCCCCUUAGAUUCACAAGGCCAUUUGACUCUUGUUUGAAUCUACCUGACCUUACCAAAAAUGCUUAGAGAACUUCAGGGAAGGUUUAAGAGAAGCUUUGCACCUCUGUUAUAGUCUAAUAAUUAUAAUUAUCAUUUGAUAUUGAUUUAAGUCAGGGGCUUGUAUUUUAACAUUACAUUUCCACAAGAAAUAUUUUGACUUAUUUAUACAAGAUGAGAAAGUCUGUAUGUACUCCCGUUACCAAAGAGAUACAGGUGUCGUUAAGGUGCUGUCUGUGCUGGGCACUACAUCAUUGUAAAUACACAUAUUUAUAUAAGCUUCUCUUCAUUAGCUGUAACCGAUCUAUCAUUGUUAUGCAUAAAAAUAGGCAUAUUAACAAAAACUAAUUAAUAAUUAACAAUAAGAGUUAUACAUUGGUGAUUCAGUGUUUCUCCCAGUAUUUUACUCAUCGUAUAUAGACCUUAACAGGUUAGCAAUUUAAUGGAAUUAUUUUAAUAUGAUGUGAAUAAUCCUGUACUAUUUUGAUGAAUAUUUUCUUUAAUUCAAAAAGAUCAAGUGACAUGGAAAUAAUGAAAACAUCUGAUGGAGUUCAAAGCAUAAUAAAUAUAUAUCAGCCUUUGUAUAAUUUCCGUAUUUUGUGGUUGCACCAGCAUUACACAGAGAAAGUGAUUUGUCAUUGAGGUGGACACAAAGUGCUACUGUGUAUCGUGUAAUGUCCACCUGUUGUAUCCUGUACAUAACCUUACAUGGUGCUCACUAUCGCACCAUUCUGCUGUAUUUAGGCAAUAAAAUCUGGCUUCAUA